AGCGACUAAGCGUACACGGUGGAUGCCCUGGCAGUCAGAGGCGAUGAAGGGCGUGCUAAUCUGCGAUAAGCGCCGGUAAGGUGAUAUGAACCGUUAUAACCGGCGAUACCCGAAUGGGGAAACCCAGUGUGACUCGUCACACUAUCAUUAACUGAAUCCAUAGGUUAAUGAGGCGAACCGGGGGAACUGAAACAUCUAAGUACCCCGAGGAAAAGAAAUCAACCGAGAUUCCCCCAGUAGCGGCGAGCGAACGGGGAGGAGCCCAGAGCCUGAAUCAGCAUGUGUGUUAGUGGAAGCGUCUGGAAAGGCGCGCGAUACAGGGUGACA
rnacentral:rRNA from 1 species